UACGGAGGGGGCAAGCGUUGUCCGGACUUACUGGGCGUAAAGGGUGCGUAGGCGGCCUGCUGCGUCGGUGCUGAAAGCGCCCGGCUUAACCGGGCGAGGCGUGCCGAUACGAGCGGGCUGGAGCCUUGGCGAGGGUGGCGGAACUCCUGGUGUAGUGGUGAAAUGCGUAGAGAUCAGGAAGAACACCCGUGGCGCAAGCGGCCACCUGGCCAAGAGCUGACGCUGAGGAACGAAAGCGUGGGGAGCGAACAGG
rnacentral:rRNA from 1 species